CUUCUCCCAUAUCCUUUUAAUUCAAGUUUGGGAGGCAUGACAACUACCCCACCUUAUUUCAAUGACAAGAACAAGGCUUCAAGAUAUCAAACUCUACACCUUCUAUAUGGAGCUAGAUUUGCAAAAGCCAUAUCCAACUCGAGGAAGUGACUUAUUGACAUGGGAGAGAACUUAUUGGUAACCAAGGACUUUGUGAAGAUAGCAAAUUUUGGCCUUGCUCGUGAAGUUCAUUCGAAGCCACCAUUCACAGAAUAGGUUUCAACACGCUGUUUACAAAUCUCAAGUACUCCAGAGUUGAAAUUGAUGAAAUGCAGUUCGAGUGGGCUGA